CCCCCCCCCCUAUUGAGGGGUCCCUUCAUAAUCCCCUUAGGAUAUAAAAAAUUUAGAACCCCCUUGGAUGCGAUUUUUGGAAGUUACCCCAUGGAUUUCUUUAUACCCCCUUUAGGAUAUCGUUUUUACCCCCUUGGAUAUCACUAAAACACCUAAUUUUUGCUAUUUUUUGGAAAAUUUCUUAAGCUACCCUCUAGGAAAUUUUAAGGUAAAAAAACCCUCCCAUCCCAUAGGAUUUCCAGACCCCUCAAUAGGGGG